rnacentral:rRNA from 2 species
ACGACUCUCGACAACGGAUAUCCCGGCUCUCGCAUCGAUGAAGAACGUAGCGAAAUGCGAUACUUGGUGUGAAUUGCAGAAUCCCGUGAACCAUCGAGUCUUUGAACGCAAGUUGCGCCUGAAGCCACUAGGCCAAGGGCACGUCUGCCUGGGUGUCACGC